GGAUGUGAAGUCAACCCAGCUGUAACACCACCAUUGGUUUCCAGGGUUGAUUUGGAUGAUCUGGAUGGCGUGGCUGGCUAGCCAGGUGUUCCCUUCCUCUCUCACCAUGUGUGUCCCUCCUUAAAGUGCACUCGGUCUAAGAGAAUGACCUUCUCACACAGAGGAGAGCCAUUUUUCAAUCAAGGGUAUGUGAGUAUUUGCACCCUCCUGACAGAACCUCUAAACGAGCUCUCAGAAAUGGAAGUAGGGCUAGAGAGAUGGCCCAGUGGUUAAGAACAAUUGUGUGCAAUCAUU
ensembl:misc_RNA 7SK 7SK RNA